rnacentral:rRNA from 1 species
ACCAGCGACCAUAUUACGUAGAAAGCACCGAUUCUCGUCCGAUCACCGAAGUUAAAAUACGUCGGGACGGGUUAGUACUUGUUGGGUGACCGAUGGCACGUGGGGCAUCCUGGGC